GACGAACCGUGCGAACGUUGUUCGGAAUCACUGGGCUUAAAGGGCGCGUAGGCGGACUGCCAAGUCCGGGGUGAAAUCCUCCGGCUUAACCGGAGAAUUGCCUGGGAUACUGGCGGUCCUGAGGGAGGUAGGGGCACGCGGAACUUCCGGUGGAGCGGUGAAAUGCGUUGAUAUCGGAAGGAACGCCGGUGGCGAAAGCGGCGUGCUGGCCCUCUUCUGACGCUGAGGCGCGAAAGCCAGGGGAGCGAACGGG
rnacentral:rRNA from 1 species